GGCGGCGUGCCUAAUACAUGCAAGUCGAACGAACGGAGGAAGAGCUUGCUCUUCCAAAGUUAGUGGCGGACGGGUGAGUAACACGUGGGCAACCUGCCUGUAAGUUGGGGAUAACUCCGGGAAACCGGGGCUAAUACCGAAUGAUAAAGUGUGGCGCAUGCCACGCUUUUGAAAGAUGGUUUCGGCUAUCGCUUACAGAUGGGCCCGCGGUGCAUUAGCUAGUUGGUAGGGUAAUGGCCUACCAAGGCAACGAUGCAUAGCCGACCUGAGAGGGUGAUCGGCCACACUGGGACUGAGACACGGCCCAGACUCCUACGGGAGGCAGCAGUAGGGAAUCUUCCGCAAUGGACGAAAGUCUGACGGAGCAACGCCGCGUGUAUGAAGAAGGUUUUCGGAUCGUAAAGUACUGUUGUUAGAGAAGAACAAGGAUAAGAGUAACUGCUUGUCCCUUGACGGUAUCUAACCAGAAAGCCACGGCUAACUACGUGCCAGCAGCCGCGGUAAUACGUAGGUGGCAAGCGUUGUCCGGAUUUAUUGGGCGUAAAGCGCGCGCAGGCGGUCUUUUAAGUCUGAUGUGAAAGCCCCCGGCUU
rnacentral:rRNA from 1 species